CGCACAUUGCGCCCCUUGGUAUUCCGGGGGGCAUGCCUGUUCGAGCGUCAUUACACCCCUCAAGCCUAGCUUGGUGUUGGGCUCCGCCGCGCGAGCGGCGGGCCUUAAAAUCAGUGGCGGUGCCGUCGGGCCCUGAGCGCAGUAAAUAUCCUCGCUACAGGGACCGGCGGACGCUGGCCAUCAACCUCACUUUCUCAGUUUGACCUCGGAUCAGGUAGGGAUACCCGCUGAACUUAA
rnacentral:misc_RNA from 1 species